rnacentral:lncRNA from 1 species
UUAGAAAUGAAGAAGAAUGAGGCAACAUAGAGAGAUUGGUAUUUUCUGUAAAAAGGGUGGUUGCCCCUCUCUGUUAUGCCUGUGAUUCUCCAUUAAAAAUCAACAGCCCUUUCAAUUAAACAAAAGAACAAACAAAAAAAAUCAUCAACACACCCCUAAUAUAUAUAUUCCUCUUCUUUUUCCUCUUCUUUUUCCUCCUCUCUUUGUGCUGCUGCUACUGAAUACGGAUGUUGUAACGGGGCUGUGAUGAUUGCUUUUUCCUUUCCGGCUAUGUGCAAUUCAUGGCAUUGAGAAAAUAUCCGACCCGUAUCUUGGCGGGGCGACCCGGUACGGCUUUUGUAUAGCAAACUGGUGUUUGCAGCCAUGGCGGCGUCGCCUUCUCUUUUGCUUUGACAAACAACAACAAAAACAACCAGUAUAAUCCCACUUAGUGGAUCUAGCUAGUGUAGUGUGUACGUAGACCUUAACAUUCUUCCUCCAAGAACUUCUCACAACCUCUUGGUUGGAAUUGGGGUUCUCUUGACAAAAAAUACAACAAAUCUGAGCCCUCACGAAAAGGUUCGUGUAAUAGCUUGUUUGGCCGUGCUUCUAAAAUCAGCUCAUUUUGUAAUAGCUUUUUUGGUCGUGCUUCUAAAAUCAGCUUAUUAGAUUUAAGAAACUUACCCUUGUUUUUUUGAGACCUCACAAGUCUUUAAUUGUGAAAAGGGAAAAGGUUAGCCUAGAAGAAUUUAAAGAAAUGAGGCAAAAACAGAGAGUUUGGGAUUUUCUUUGAAAGGGUGGUUGCCCCUCUGCUUCACCACUGAUUUUCCUCCAUUAUUUUUUUUAUAAAAAAGAACCAACAGCCCUUGUUUAUGUCUUUAUGACAAAAGCAGAAGCAGGAGAAAUGAUUUAAGUUAUAUAUAGUGACAUCUCUGUUUGGAAACAACCUCUUUACCUGCACAAUAUAGGUUUAGGGCUGGGUACUCACCGUCUUACUCAUACCCCACUUGUGAGAUUAUGAUAGGUUUAAGGCUGGGUACUCACCGUCUUACUCAUACCCCACUUGUGAGAUUAUAGUGGUUUUUUGGUUUUUGUUGUUGUAUACUGACAUCUGUCUUUCCUCUGUGUACUUUUACAGUAUUAAUGGAAGGAGCAUAAAGUAGCAGUGAUGAUGUCUGGUCUAACCGAUUUGGUCAUUGAGAUGAGCCGACCGGAUCUUGGCGUGGCAACCCAGGAUGGCCUGUGUGGAGAAUCUUCUCUCACACAUGCAACUGGUGUUUUGCUGCCAUGGCGUUGUUGGUUUCUCUUUUGCCUUAUCAUAAGAAACAUUUGAGCCGCAUUUGCUUGAAAGUAGAAAAACAGAAUCUUUUCCAUGAUUCAUUGUUGGGAUAUAUUGAACCCGCAUUUGCCUGUGUGGUCUUUUACAGUGUUGAUGGAAGAUUGGAAGGUACAUAAAGUGUCGAACCCGCAUUGGCCUGUGUGGUCUUUUACAGUGUUGAUGGAAGAUUGGAAGGUACAUAAAGUGGUAGUGAUGAUAAUGUUUCUAUAUCUCGACUAACCGAUUUGGGCAUUGAGGGGGUGAAAUUCAAAAAUAGCCAGAUUAUAAGUGGUAAUUGAAAAUAGCCAAAGUUUCAAAAGUAAUGUAAAGAUACACCUGAACGAAAAUAAUGUUCAAAACCCGGAAAAUUUUCCAUGUUGAAUAAUAUAGUGUGACUUUCCGUGUGUUGGAGUUCCAAUAGUGCUUCAGUAUAUUAUGCUUUAACUUUUCACGUUGCAGCAAAAUAGUGACUAUUUUUUAAUGACCUUGCAAACGCAGGUUAUUUUUCAAUUAUCAUUCUUAAAACUGGUUAGCCAGUGCUAUUUUCAUGCAUUGAGAUGAGACGACCCCUAUGUUGGCGUGGCAACCCGGUAUGGCCUGUGAUUGAGAGUU